UACGUAGGGGGCAAGCGUUGUCCGGAUUUAUUGGGCGUAAAGAGCUCGUAGGCGGUCUGUCACGUCGGCUGUGAAAACCCGGGGCUCAACCCCGGGCCUGCAGUCGAUACGGGCAGACUAGAGUGCGGUAGGGGAGACUGGAAUUCCUGGUGUAGCGGUGAAAUGCGCAGAUAACAGGAGGAACACCGGCGGCGAAGGCGGGUCUCUGGGCCGUAACUGACGCUGAGGAGCGAAAGCGUGGGGAGCAAACAGG
rnacentral:rRNA from 1 species